GGAUUAGAUACCCUGGUAGUCCACGCCGUAAACGAUGUCUACUAGCCGUUGGGCUCCUUGAGAGCUUUGUGGCGCAGCUAACGCGAUAAGUAGACCGCCCGGGGAGUACGGUCGCAAGAUUAAAACUCAAAUGAAUUGACGGGGGCCCGCACAAGCGGUGGAGCAUGUGGUUUAAUUCGAAGCAACGCGAAGAACCUUACCUACUCUUGACAUCCAGAGAAUUUGCUAGAGAUAGCUUAGUGCCUUCGGGAACUCUGUGACAGGUGCUGCAUGGCUGUCGUCAGCUCGUGCUG
rnacentral:rRNA from 1 species